GACGAACGCUGGCGGCGUGCUUAACACAUGCAAGUCGAGCGAACCUUCGGGUUAGCGGCGAACGGGUGAGUAACACGUGGGCAACCUGCCCCGAGCUCUGGGAUAACCCCGGGAAACCGGGGGCUAAUACCGGAUAUGACACCGAUCGACAUCUGUCGGUGUGGAAAGAUUUAUCGGCUCGGGAUGGGCCCGCGGCCUAUCAGCUUGUUGGGUGGGGUAACGGCCUACCAAGGCGACGACGGGUAGCCGGCCUGAGAGGGCGACCGGCCACACUGGGACUGAGACACGGCCCAGACUCCUACGGGAGGCAGCAGUGGGGAAUAUUGCGCAAUGGGCGAAAGCCUGACGCAGCGACGCCGCGUGAGGGA
rnacentral:rRNA from 1 species